GACGAACGCUGGCGGCGUGCUUAACACAUGCAAGUCGAGCGGUAAGGCCCUUUCGGGGGUACACGAGCGGCGAACGGGUGAGUAACACGUGGGUGACCUGCCCUCAGCUCUGGGAUAAGCCUGGGAAACCGGGUCUAAUACCGGAUAUGACUCCAUGACGCAUGUUGUGGGGUGGAAAGCCUUGUGCGGCUGAGGAUGGGCCCGCGGCCUAUCAGCUUGUUGGUGGGGUGAUGGCCUACCAAGGCGACGACGGGUAGCCGGCCUGAGAGGGCGACCGGCCACACUGGGACUGAGACACGGCCCAGACUCCUACGGGAGGCAGCAGUGGGGAAUCUUGCGCAAUGGGCGAAAGCCUGACCCAGCAACGCCGCGUGAAGGAUGAAAUCCCUCGGGA
rnacentral:rRNA from 1 species